UGGGGAAUUUUGCACAAUGGAGGAAACUCUGAUGCAGCGACGCCGCGUGAGUGAUGAAGAUCUUCGGAUUGUAAAACUCUGUCCUUAGUGAAGAUAAUGACAGUAACUAAGAAGCAAGCCCUGGCUAAAUACGUGCCAGCAGCCGCGGUAAUACGUAUGGGGCAAGCGUUGUCCGGAAUUAUUGGGCGUAAAGGGUACGUAGGCGGUUUAAUAAGUCCUAAUUAAAAGGCUAUGGCUCAACCAUAGUAUGGUUAGGAAACUGUUGAACUUGAGUAGAUGAGGGGAAAGUGGAAUUCCAUGUGUAGCGGUGAAAUGCGUAGAUAUAUGGGGGAACACCAAUGGCGAAGGCAACUUUCUGGAAUCAAACUGACGCUGAGGUACGAAGGCGUGGGGAGCAAACAGG
rnacentral:rRNA from 1 species